rnacentral:rRNA from 1 species
AACGCUGGCGGCGUGCUUAACACAUGCAAGUCGAACGAGAAUCUGUGGAAAGAGGAUUCGUCCAAUUGAAGCAGAGGACAGUGGCGGACGGGUGAGUAACGCGUGAGGAACCUGCCUUUCAGAGGGGGACAACAGUUGGAAACGACUGCUAAUACCGCAUAACAUAUAGAUGUCGCAUGGCAUUUAUAUCAAAGAUUUAUCGCUGAAAGAUGGCCUCGCGUCUGAUUAGCUAGUUGGUGAGGUAACGGCCCACCAAGGCGACGAUCAGUAGCCGGACUGAGAGGUUGAACGGCCACAUUGGGACUGAGAUACGGCCCAGACUCCUACGGGAGGCAGCAGUGGGGAAUAUUGCACAAUGGGGGAAACCCUGAUGCAGCAACGCCGCGUGAGUGAAGAAGUAUUUCGGUAUGUAAAGCUCUAUCAGCAGGAAAGAAAAUGACGGUACCUGACUAAGAAGCCCCGGCUAACUACGUG